rnacentral:rRNA from 1 species
ACGCUCGACACCUACGGGGGCAGCAGUAGGGAAUCUUCCACAAUGGACGCAAGUCUGAUGGAGCAACGCCGCGUGAGUGAAGAAGGUCUUCGGAUCGUAAAACUCUGUUGUUAGAGAAGAACACGAGUGAGAGUAACUGUUCAUUCGAUGACGGUAUCUAACCAGCAAGUCACGGCUAACUACGUGCGAGCAGCCGCGGUAAUCUGAGCGGGCUGGCAAGGC